rnacentral:tRNA from 1 species
GGGUGGUUAGCUCAGUCGGUAGAGCAGCGGACUUUUAAUCCGUUGGUCGCGAGUUCGAAUCUCGCACCACCUACCA